AUGAAGAGGAUAACUUAUUCGCACCCCCCAAGCUGACCGACGAGGACUUCUCACCAUUUGGCUCUGGAGGCAGCCUGUUCAGUGGGGGCAAGGGGCUCUUUGAUUAUGAGGACGAGGAGGUGAGUCCAUGGCACUCAGCAACACUCCCUGCAGCUAGCUGUGUCAGGGGUCCACAGGGAAGAAAUAGGCUUUGCUUGUUGAGUGGGGAAAAACAGUUUCUCAGUUGGAAGUUGCUUCUAUUUUCAUAUUUUGGGACAUUUUGAACUAAGAAUCACAGAGUGAGAAAUGCCGUAUCCUUCUAUGCUUUGUUAGGUGAGGCGAAGAUGUGCACGUGUUAAUGUGAAUAAUUUACUAGGUGAUUGUUUCUUGCCUUAUCUGUUGUCUUCCAUGUUUGUUUUUAAUUCCUGGACAGGCCUAAAUUAUUUUAGAGUCUGAUUUUGCCAUAGUUAUCACUUUGCAACUGAUUUUCUGGCAGAGUAGUAAAUAUGUAGCUUUAAAUCUUGUAGGUUAUUUUUCCUUAGGAAUCCUCAAAUGCAGCUAUGCUUUCUCCUGGUUUUUUGAAUUCUUUGUCAUAUACCUUAUUUCAACCAGAGUGACCUCUUCACGGAAGCCCCCCAGGAUCGGCAAGCUGGAGCCUCUGUUAAGGAGGGAGACACGGAUGUGCUGCCUCCGUUCCAUCACUGAAGGAGCCACAGAAGCCUGAGCAGCCCACUCCAAGGAAAAGCCCCUACGUUCCCCUCCCACUGGCCUCUUUGAUGAUGAUGAUGGUGAUGAUGAUGACGACUUUUUCUCGACACCCCACAGCAAGCCUUCCAAAACAGGCAAAGUCCAAUCCACUGCCGAUAUCUUUGGUGACGAAGAAGGAGAUCUGUUCAAAGAAAAAGCCGUAGCAUUGCCAGAAGCCACUGUGAGUCAGACAGAUGAAAAUAAAGCAAGAGCAGAAAAAAAGGUUACCUUAUCUUCCAGCAAAAAUCUCAAGCCCUCAUCAGAAACAAAGACUCAAAAAGGCUUAUUUUCAGAUGAGGAGGACUCUGAGGUAUGGAAUUCUUUUGCUUAGUUGUGGGUAUUAGUCUAUGAUAUGACAUAACUAUUUUGAAUCAGGUUUUUCUCAAUAGAGUUAUAAGACUUUUGUUAAGUACUCCAGUUCUUUAAAAA
rnacentral:lncRNA from 1 species